GAUCUGCCGCUGUAACGCCACCUCCUCCUCUCCUUUUCAGAAGGAAUUCUGAAAAACCAGCACGACCCUGGGCCUGGGCGAGUGGCUGCCCCCCCCCCCCCCUUCCUGCUCCACUUGAUUGAGCACUGUUUGCUCUGAGCCUGGGGCAGGAGAGUUGAGGCGGCCGGUCUCCAGUUGCCUGAAAAAGCCCGAUCUCGUUCCCAACCCCGGUCUCUCACUCCCCUCGCAAAGCACUGCAGAGCUGCGGCCUGAUUAAUGCGGUGCGCUGAUAUAUACAGGAGAUGGGCUCGCGAUUCCCGGCAAGCGGUCCCUGCGCCCCUGCGGAGAGGCGGCUCCGACUGCUCGACUGCGACCCCUGGCGGCCGGCGGAGAAACUCUCCGCAGAGCUUCAAAAGCGAACGGGCCGCUGGACAGAAAGCAAAGGGAGGAUUUUAAAAGAAACUGGGGCUCCAGAACUGCUUUUCCUUCUUCACUGACUCAUCUGAACUUCAGUUCUGUCCACUUGGAGCUCUGAACUCCAGUUAAGAAACCAAGGGGAGCUCCCAGUGUGACCACUCACAGAAAUCCCACCACUCCACAAGUGAGGUGGCAAAGAAACUGCUUAGGCGAAAGGCUGUCACUAGGACCUCCUGGUAUUCUGUGGACUUCAUGCACUGAGCACCCAUCAUCGAUGGGGGAGAGAGCCAAGCGUACAAGCAGGUGGUGGGGCCUAUGCAAGGGGAAGAACACACAACACCACCGCAUGCAGGUGGAGCAUCUAAACUGUCUUAGGGGGUCAAGGAGAACGUCCCAGACGCUCUGGCCUCCAAGCCUCAACCCAGCUACCUGAAGGAGCACUCUUUUCAAACUGAUUGUUAAGUAUCUUGUAUAACAUCAAACUCUACCAUUUAGCUUCUUCAUCUAUAAUAAUAGAUUCACUUCAGGAAUGCCUGGGUGGCUCAGUCAGUUAAGCGACCGACUCUGAUUUUGGCUCAGGUCAUGAUCUCACGGUUCGUGAGU